rnacentral:rRNA from 1 species
AUUAACCCUUCAUAGUAUUAUUGGAUGGCAUCAUUUGAUAGUUAAAACUGAGGUGGUAUGAUGGGCAUGCGUCUGAUUAGUUAGUUGCGGGGUAAUGGCCCACCAAAGACGAUGAUCAGUAGGGGUUCUGAGAGGAAGAUCCCCCCACACUGGCACUGAGAUACGGGCCAGACUCCUACGGGAGGCAGCAGUAGGGAAUAUUGGUCAAUGGAUGCAAGUCUGAACCAGCCAUGCCGCGUGCAGGAAGAAGGCCUUCUGGGUUGUAAACUGCUUUUGCCAGGGGAUAAAAUUUCCAUGCGUGGAAAACUGAAGGUACCUGGUGAAUAAGCCACGGCUAACUACGUG